rnacentral:lncRNA from 1 species
UGGGAGAGGAACACAGAGGGUGAGUCGUAAGAGAGAUACCAUGUAGCUGCUGAGGAAGCAAGAGGCUUGGGCAUUCUCUGAGCUGGAAACUCAACUAAUGUAAGAAGUGGACAAAUCACAGGAUCGAAAUGCAGUUGAAAUGCAAGCUUGGACUUCAGCCAUCUGGAUGGAUUGACAGAAUAUCCAUGUGGACCCAUGGCAGCUUGGAGAACUGAACUCAGAAACCAAGCAAGAGUGAUAGCCACAGCCCAGAUCGGAGCCCAGGACCAGUCCCAUGAGGAUGCUGCACUGAAGUUGACUGCUGAAUCUGUGGGGCCUGCACUAUCCCUGCCCACAUGGAAGCUGAUGAAAUUCCCAUUUGAGACCCUUCUCCCAUGUUGUCUCUUGGUUCACCAGUCCUGUGUGAAGUCUGGAUUGAUACACGAGCUAGAGAGCCUAGCUCAUAGGCCUUCACCCUGGAUUUACAUCAGGCUGGGAAACAGAGUGGAUGGAAAUUUAAUUCUAUAGUCCAAGUAGCUCUUCUAUCAAAAUUCAAAAGUUUGUAUCUAAGCUGUAUCUGUUGUACAGUGUUCUUGUUUACAGUUCUGGAGUUUUCAUUCAGUUCUAUAAGCAGAAGGGGAUUAUUAAAGAGCUUAGUAACUUAAGGAAGCUUGGGGAGGAUGAGAGGAGCCAGUGUAGAGAUCCUACUGACAGGGGCCAGAGAGAUGGCUCAGUGGCUAAAGGUAACUGCCACCAAGCCUGAUGACCAGAGUUCAAUCUUGGGGACUCACGUGGUGGAACAUCCAGAAACUCUAGAGCCCAAAGCACCACUGUAAGAGUGAUAUGCCAUGACACAGCUUCAGCACGGCUGUUGCUGCGACACCACCAGGUACUGUGUCUACUCAGGACUUGACUGUAAGUACUCCAUCUCAGUUUCCCAAGAAAAACUAGCUGUUUCCACUCCGGCCAUCACGGGAGAAAUUUCCAGCACAUAUCUUUGUUUCCUUGGGUUGUGCGCUGUCAUGCCCAGUCUUAGGUAAAAGCACCAGGGCCCAUGUCACAUGACCAGUCUCAGGUGGACUUUGGCAAAUACAACUCUUGUGGAGUCUACAAGAAAGCAGCACACGGAUGUGAGAAGCUGUUUGAAGGAGUUGUGUGGCUCGGAAUGGCAGAUGCCGCUACAGGAUGGAGCUUCCGGUACAUAGGAGACUACACUGAGCAGCUGAAAUAAUGACAGACAAGAGAAAUGACGAGUGGCCACGAGAAACAUUCUGAGCCUCAGUCCCUCUGGCCACAUUCCUAACUCAACAUUCCAUUAAACAAAAACUCCCCAGUGGUCCUUACCUUUUGUCUGCUGCCCUUAUACAUGAGUCCCAGGUACAUACAACAGUACCUUAUAAAUGAGUCCCAG